GACGAACGCUGGCGGCGUGCUUAACACAUGCAAGUCGAACGAAGAGCGACGGAAGCUUGCUUCUAUCAAUCUUAGUGGCGAACGGGUGAGUAACGCGUAAUCAACCUGCCCUUCAGAGGGGGACAACAGUUGGAAACGACUGCUAAUACCGCAUACGAUCUAACCUCGGCAUCGAGGAUAGAUGAAAGGUGGCCCCUACAUGUAAGCUAUCACUGAAGGAGGGGAUUGCGUCUGAUUAGCUAGUUGGAGGGGUAACGGCCCACCAAGGCGAUGAUCAGUAGCCGGUCUGAGAGGAUGAACGGCCACAUUGGGACUGAGACACGGCCCAGACUCCUACGGGAGGCAGCAGUGGGGAAUCUUCCGCAAUGGACGGAAGUCUGACGGAGCAACGCCGCGUGAGUGAUGACGGCCUUCGGGUUGUAAAGCUCUGUUAAUCGGGACGAAAGGCCUUCUUGCGAAUAGUGAGAAGGAUUGACGGUACCGGAAUAGAAAGCCACGGCUAACUACGUG
rnacentral:rRNA from 1 species